CCAGCAGCCGCGGUAAUUCCAGCUCCAAUAGCGUAUAUUAAAGUUGUUGCAGUUAAAACGCUCGUAGUCUGAUGUAAUGGGGACUGGUGUGGGGAGCAGCGAUGCUCUGUGCAGCGGUCCUCAUCAGGGGGCCAGCAAUGGCCCAGUUUACUUUGAGGAAAUUAGAGUGUUCAAAGCAGGCGAUUGCUUGAAUACUGCAGCAUGGAAUAAUGGAAUAGGACUCGCGUCUUAUUUUGUUGGUUUGGAGAUGUGAGUAAUGAUGAAUAGGGACAGUUGGGGGCAUUGGUAUUCAGUAGUCAGAGGUGAAAUUCUUGGAUUUACUGAAGACUAACUAGUGCGAAAGCAUUUGCCAAGGAUGUUUUCAUUGAUCAAGAACGAAAGU
rnacentral:rRNA from 1 species